UUGUCAGGAAGCAAGCGCCAAACUGGUAGUAAAAAGACACAGCUAUGGGGGAACCUCAGUUUCAUGCUUCCUGGGCUUCUCAGUGACCUAAAAGAACCAAGAAAGACCAGAGGAGGAGACUGAAACUGCCUCUCUCUUGCUCAUUCUUCAGUGCCAGAUCACAUCAGGCUGUAAGAUACCUGAGGACUAUUUGUUUGCAGACUGCUGGAAGACAGAGACGGAAUCACCUAUUGUAAAAAACUCAAAAGAACAUGAAAAAGUCUUCUUGUGAUCAUCAAAAUCAUCAGCAGGUGCAGUAACAGAAAAAUAAAUUCAAUUUGCAGACUCCUGUCAUCCUCCGGAUCUUUGGAUCAGUCUCUCAGCCUCAUUCAUUGCUUCUGAGGAUGAACUUCUCAACACCUGCUGUGGUCGAAACUGUUCUUACAUCAUCUCCUGAACACAGUGACUUCAAUCACGUGAAACCAUGAGGUUAAUGCCACAGUCGAGACUUCAAAGCUGUUUCUGCAGACCUGAGCUGAUUUUUUUUUGAAAAUGCUACAGUAGCUGCUAGUUCUUAACCAGCAGAAGAAUUACCAAAGCUGGCAGUGUUCUGCUUAUCAUGCAAUACAAGAAGAUGGGAAAAUUUUCUAGCAGAACUGCAAUCUGGGUGAGGGUGGCAGUACUGUAGGCUGAGUUCUCCACUUAAUAUCAGAUUAGUUUUGAUUUUUGUCUUUUUGUAUAAAAUGGAGAUGAAUAUCCUUGUUCUGUAUUACCUACUUGAAUCAGAUGACCUUUAAAAGGCCCCUUCCAACUCAAACUAUUCUAUGAUUCUAUGAAAUUGUUAGUUGUGCUAGAAAAGGGAUUCUCACAAGAAAAAAGGUGAUUACAGGGCUUACUAAUGAGGGUGAGAGAUGAGGCUACAGGGGGAACCUUCUUUUGAGAGACACUUUGAACAAUCUUUCAGAAGGGGGGAGAUUCUGAUACAUGUCUAAAUGAGUCUGGGUUAUGUGCAAUAGCAGAAAACUUUCCUCUGACCAGAAAGUUCCCUCUGGUUCUGUGUUUCUGAGUUGUAGGACAAUGAAAUUCUUAAAUGUUAAUUAUGCAAGUAGCAACAGUGAUUAUCUAUUGAUCAAUAAUAUUAAU